GAUCUCCUGACCUCGUGACCUGCCCAGCUCGGCCUCCCAAAGUGCUGGGAUUACAGGCAUGAGCCAUUGCGCCUAACCUCAGAAACCAUUUUUAUAACCUCAAUACCUAAUAGAAACUGGCACAUGGACUGUGUGCGAAAUGUUCAAACUUGCUCACUGGGUUAAAAAGGAUGGACAGCUUAGAGAAAAAGAAGAAAAAAAGGAAACUCGGCUGUGCGCAGUGACUCAUGCCUAUAAUGCCAGCACUUUGGGAGGCCAAGGCAACUUUGCAAAUUAAAUGGUUCACAUAUGAAGGAGCACAGCUGUAGAAGGAAAAUAAGGAAGAGAAAAUAACUUCGGAAAAUUCCCAGGACUCAUACUCUAAAGGUCAUGGUUCCAGUACCAGCUUGGCUAGUAAUUAAUUGGAUUUUGGUCUUAGAUAAAUACAGACUUCUAGAUCUGUUUCUUCACAUAUAAAAUGAGAAUAAUCACCACAGUCCUGAUCUAAUAUACUAAGAUUUAGUGUCAAAAAGAAGUGUGGUUCCAAGAGUCAGUUAUUGUGCAAGUGGGUAGAAGUGCUUUAGAGUAAAUAUAAAUUCUGACUCUUUGCUACUUUCUUACUAGACAGUUAGACAAGUCAUUUAGAACUCUAUAGAUCAGCAAAAUAGGUAUAACAUUUUCUGUUUCAUAUUUGUUUUCUAGGUUUAAAUGAGAGAAUGAGUAUCAAAAAGUAUAGCAUGUGCCUCCGUAGGAAAAGUUUGGUAAAUCUCAGCAGCUAAUUAUAGGAAUAAUCAUGGUGGAAAAAGGCAGCAGCAGUAUUUCAAAGCCAGUUGCUUUCAGGGGAGAAAAUGACUGCAAGGUUAACAAAACUUAGCCAAAACCUGAUUGAAAAUAGGGAUAUGAUUCAAAAUGGCAGAUGGCAACCCUAAGUAAGAUUAUUUAGCAAUAGAAGCAUAGAUACAGAGGAGCCAUUGAGAACACAUAAGCAAUGAUUAUCUGAGCUCUAUGAAUGAAGAUCUAGUGUCAGAUGAAUGUGAGUGUAGGUCCACUGAGCGAAUACAUUUCUAUGAAAGGAAUUCACGUAUCAAGUUUUGAGCCCUGAUGGUAUCAAAUAUUCAAAAAGUUGUAAACACCCCUUCUUGUUCUGAUUCCAAAAUAAUCUAACAACUAUAUAAUUAUUUUUAUGUUUAUAUAUUCAUCUAUAUAGAGAAAAUGUAAUGAUCAGGCUAACAUGAGAAUUCAUUCAUUCUGCCUGACACAUCUCUCACUGGGAGUUGACAAUCUAAUGUUCUGAAUUUCUAUUCCAGCCCCUGUGAGCUGUGACUGCAAGAGUCAGCACCUAAAUUAGAUCAACACUACAACAUCAAAAAGCCAGCUUGAUGGCACAGCGGGGAGUGAGGAAGACUCGGUGGACAAAUCUGACUGGAAAACAAGUAGGCGUUGCAGAUGAGGCUGAAAGUGCAAGACCAGAGCACCAGCAUGGAUGGGUUGCAGUGAGGGCUCUCUUUUGAGCUGCAGGUGGCUGUCUUCUCAUUUAUCUUCAC
rnacentral:lncRNA from 1 species